rnacentral:rRNA from 1 species
UACGGAGGGUGCAAGCGUUAAUCGGAAUUACUGGGCGUAAAGGGCGCGUAGGCGGGUUUCCAAGUCGGGGGUGAAAUUCCAGGGCUCAACCCUGGGACGGCCUUCGAUACUGGGAGCCUGGAGAUCGGGAGAGGUGAGUGGAAUUCCGAGUGUAGAGGUGAAAUUCGUAGAUAUUCGGAAGAACACCAGUGGCGAAGGCGGCUCACUGGACUGGUAUUGACGCUGAGGUGCGAAAGCGUGGGGAGCAAACAGG